rnacentral:lncRNA from 1 species
GUUGCUGUGGGGCUUCUAGAUCUCUCAAAUUCCACAUGACAAGAUCAAUGCAUGCGUGAGGGGCCCCUUCCCAGCAGGCUCUGGUGGCUACAAACUGGUUCACGUGUGGAAGAUCAUACCACUUUACCUUUGGUUUUUCUUUGAAAAGCAAACAAUGAAAGACAGCUGAAAACAAGAAUUCUACCAGUGGGCAGGCAAGAAUUCUCGUUGGGAAAAGGGAUGUUUGUGGCUGUUCCCCACAUUGGGCUUGAAAGAGCUUGGCUGCAGUGUGGUUAUUAUUAAAAUGUCCACAGAAUAGAAGAUGCUCAUGAGGCUGCAGUGGAAAGGGAAUGCUUGUACACUGUUGGCCAGAGUGUAAAUCAGUUCAUGGAAAAAUUAAUGUAGAAAACCGUUUGGAGAUUUCUGAAACAAUUUAAAACAGAACUAUCUUUCCACCCAGCACUUGCUUUAUUGGGCAUUUACCUAAAGGAAAGUAAUUGUUCUGCCAAAAAGACUCAUGCUCUUGCAUGUCCAUCACAGCACUAUUCACAGUAGCAAAGCCAUGGAAUCAACCUAGGUGGCCAUCAGCGGUAGACUGGAUAAAGAAAAUGUGGUACAUAUACACCAUGGAAUACUAUGCAGCCAUGAAAAGAAUGAAAUCAUGUCCUUUGCAGCAACAUGGAUGGAGCUGGAGACCAUAAUCCUAAGCAAAUUAACAUGGGAACAGAAAACCAAAUAUCACGUUCUCAUGUAUAAGUCGGAGCUGAGCAUUGGGUAAAAAUGGAUGUAAAGAUGGGAAGAGUAGACACUGCAACUACUAGAGGGAAGAGAGAAGGAGUGUGGAAAGGGCUGAAAAAAUACCUAUUGGGUACUGUGCUCAGUUCCUGAGUGAGGAGAUCAUUUGUGCCCCAAACCUCAGCAUCACACAGUAUACCCAUGUAACAAACCUGCACAUGUACCCCAUGAAUCUAAAAUAAAAUUUGAAAUUAUUUUUUAAAAAAUGGGGCCUGGGCCAGAAGCUGUGGCUCACACCUGUAAUCCUAGCACUCUGGAUCACUUGAGGUCAGGAGUUCAAAACCACACUGGCCAACAUCGUAAAUCCCUGUCUCUAAUAAAAAUACAAAAAAGAAAAAAAAAAUUAGCUUGGCAUGGUGGCAUGCACCUGUAAUCCCGUGUACUUGGGAGACUGAAUCACUUGAACCCGGGAGGUGGAGGUUGUAGUGAGCAGAGAUCAUGCCACGGCACUCCAGCCUGGCUGUUGUUCAGCCAGAAGGAGAUGUUUUGUGUGAAGGCUGAGGUGGGGGCUCUUUGGAGCCUCUGUGAGAAGGAGGCCCUAAGCCGUGGCGGUGGACAGAGUUAUAGCUUUCUGCCUCUUUGCCAUUUGGUCUGGACCCACAGGUGAACAGUACCAGCCUCGAUCCCGAGCACACGCCCUGCAGACUUUCACAUCUCACGGUCCAUGUGAGCACAUGGAAUGGGAAAGCUGUGUGGCCUGAGAAAAGGCAACCCCGUGGCCUGUUUCUCACACAGUAUUUUGUCUUAGAUUUUUGAAUAAGCAUUUUUCUGCUUGUUUUGUGUUUUUUGUGGUGGUGGUGGUGGUUUAUUUUACACUGACCACUUGCGAGAUAUACCAUGGUUAUCUGUGAUUUUCAUGCACUGUUUGUGCUGUCAACCCUUCUCACAGGGCUAACUCAGAUUUCUGUGUAAAGACUCUAUGUGGCCCAGGUAGGAGGUGGAAGCAGCCAUCUAGAAGGCCAUUGGGAUCCUUAUGUCUGUCUCUUGGCUUGAGGUAACCAGCUGGGCUUUGAUAGGAAUGAUCUGAAUGGAGACAGAAAACAGGGGAAACUAAGACUCCUUGCCCAGCCCUGUUUAUAUGAAGCAUUUUGUUCUUCCCUUGAUUCUUGAGUGAUGAUGAUAUUCAGACGAGGCACUGACGUUACAGUAAGAAAGGGAAAAAAAUGUAUCUGUGUUGUCUAUCUAUCUACUGGAUAUAUGUCUCCAAAAGCAGACAAACCCAAGGCUGUAAGGUGAACUACGGUCUGCGUUUGGACUCCAUAAAAACAAAAUCCAUGUUGAACAAAGUGAUGUUUGUAUGUAUUGACGUUCUGGGUGACCUGUGUGUAUCUCCAUUGUGUGCAAGCCCUGAGCCCUGUUUUCCUCUGAAGAUAGUGAGUGGUAGCCGUCUCCUCACAUGAACUACAUAUCUGGAGCCCAGAUGGCCCUCUCAAGCUCCCAGGGGUGUCCACAACCACUUGGGACAGAAGAUGAAGGUGGAAUUUCAAAGAGAAGCUUGCUUGGAUCUUCGGUGACAAGCUUGGAUGAGCUACAGCCCCAACAUGGUCCCUCUCAGAAUUGCCUGGAAGAGGCUUUGGCAGGUGCCAGAGGUGCCAGGGGGCCUGCCUCCCUCUGCUGCAUCCAGUGGGUGCAAGCCAGCCAACAUGUGGCCAGAGUGGCUGCUCAGAUGUCUUUCCCUCCACUUUUUUUUAAGGAGUCCCACGCAAAGAAGAUGAAAAUGCAGCGUGCAGACCUGGCUUGAUUCCCAAGUCGCAGUCUAGCUCCCGCUAUGCAAGAAGAUUCAGCUGGUCGGAUUUUUUGGGCUGCCUCGAAGAUGCUGACAACAUUUUCUGUGCUGUGAUUGUUCUGAAGGCAGAGUAGCUCUACCCACUGUGAGAAGCCCAAAUAAAAAUCAGUACCCCCCCACCAAAGACCAACUUUCUGAAACACACAUUUCUCUAGAAAACAGUGCCCCCCUUUCUCCCAAGUUUCUUAUAAUUUUUGGAUUCCAUCUAUUUGUAUGUGCUAAUCUAGUGUACCAUGCAACACAUUUUGGGAGAUGAGGGUUCAGCUUACCUUUAAGGGGGGGAGUCGUGGCUGACCUGAGAUUGGAGGAUGCUUUCCAGUGUGAAGCAGUGUGAGGGAGCAGGCACAGACACAGACAGUGAAAGCAAGGUCACUUUAUUGGUAUAGAGACUGCAGAGGUACCAGAGGCUUUAGCUGUUGGCAGCUAUGGUGUCCUUAAUCCAGUCCACAUAGUUGUAGACCUUGGUGUAGACUCCA